GACAGAGGGUGCAAACGUUGUUCGGAAUUACUGGGCGUAAAGCGUGUGUAGGCGGUCUCUUAAGUCGGAUGUGAAAGCCCCGGGCUCAACCCGGGAAGUGCACUCGAAACUGGGAGGCUAGAGUACUGGAGAGGUUGGUGGAAUUCUCGGUGUAGAGGUGAAAUUCGUAGAUAUCGAGAGGAACACCGGUGGCGAAGGCGGCCAACUGGACAGAUACUGACGCUGAGACACGAAAGCGUGGGGAGCGAACAGG
rnacentral:rRNA from 1 species